rnacentral:piRNA from 1 species
UAUAAGAAAGAGUGUCUAGUUCAGAU